UCUGUGGGGGAGGGGGAAGAAGGAGGGAGGCGAAGGGGGAUGGCACCGGGGACAAGUAGGCCCCUGGCCAGAAUAGGCAGCCCCUCCUUCCCCUCCGAGGGUGGCUGUUUACUGAGCAAACGGCCCUCCCUUCUCACCCUCCCCCACCCCGACUUCCCCAGCAAAAAUGCAGCCUCUGCCUUUCUGGCCUAUUCUGGCCCGGUUGCAUCCACACGCCUCCGACGCUGGGGAGGACUCGGCAGGAGCCUCAAAUGGCACCCACUCGCCAGCCUCCCUCCCAGUGGAUGCUUCUAUUUUAGGCACCGCAUUAUUUCCUGCUGUGAUUUUUUCAGCCUUCUAAUUCGGGCUCUGAGGGAAAAAACAGUAACUUUAUGAUGGAGAAACCUGACAGACAUCUCCUUACCCAAGUGAUCAAAGUUAACACCAACAAGACUGGAGCAAACAGACAUCAUGUGGCUCCUGAUAUGAUACACUGAGAAGGACACAGCAUCACUUCUGUGAGGUUCCUGCAAACAAAUGCCUAACCUGAAUCUAAUUGUGAGCAAGCACCAGACUAACCCAAGCUGAGGAACAUUCUACAAAACGACUGGCCUGUACUCUUGAAAAAUAUCGAUGUCGUGAAAGAGAAGGAAAGGCUGAGGAACCAUUCUAGAUUAAAAACUAAAGAGAUAUGACAAUUAAAUGGAACGUAUGAUCCUGGAUUGGAUCCUGGACUAGAAAAAAAAUCAUUAUAAAGAAAUUAUUGGAACAACUGGAUAAAUUUUAAUAUGCAUUGCACAUUAAAUAAUAGCAUUAUAUCAA